CAGAUACUUGAACCAUUGAUCAUAUUUUCAAAUAAAUCAUUUAAAAACUUACCUCCAUUUGUGAAAUGGCAGAAAUCCAUCUUUUCUGUAAAACAUUUUCAGGGUAGCCAGAGAUCUAAAGAAAUGAAAUGAACCAAGAAUCCCUAAGCAAGCCUGGUGACUGGGAGAAAAUAUCCAUACUACCCAAGAAACUCUAGGAGCUGCAAUUCAAAACAACAACUUUUCAAAACUGUGGUCACAAUGAAAAUUUUUAGGUUCACCCAGAACCAAUUUACAUUUGCAGGGAAGCUUCUUUUGGAAUUUCCCCAUGAUCAUAAAAUUAAAGUUGCGCAUGUGCAAAGAUCAUAAUUUCUCCAUGCCCUCCAUGGUCUUUAUGUUCUUUAUAUCAAAGAAAAAACUGCUUAGAUUUUUUUCUGAAAUGAUUUGUUAUAUACAUUAAUCCAAAUAGAUGAUUUUUUUUUGUCUUUAAAGCUGCCUCUACCUCUUUCUCUCUCUUUUAAAAUGGAGGACUAAUUCUAAAAAAUGUUUAACUCCAUGGAACAGUCCCAUCAUGCAUAGUCCCAGAAACAGAAGAAAAGCCUCCCUUCCAUCCCAACUGCCACUGCCCUGAGCUUGGAAGAAAAGAAGACAAGCAUGACUUCAUCAUGUCUUGAGCCAGAAACAGAUAAAAGGUCUUUCAUUCAUUCCAACUACAACUGCCCUGGCUUAGAAGAAGAGAAGAAGAUGCAGGCAUAGUUCAUGGUUGAGCCCAGAAAAAGAUGAAAGGGUCUUCUUCUCCCUGUCCUUGUGUGUUGUAUCUUAUUCAGAUUGUAAGCCUGAGGGCAGAGAACUGUCAAAGUAACAAUUUGUAAAUUCCUCUCAAAACCUUUGGGGCUGAAGGGUGGGGUAUAAAUAUUCAAAAUAAAUAAAUUAGGGCUAAAUCUUAUUGGUCAGUUCAAACAAAUGCAGACUUAUUGAAUCAGUUGUUGAGAAACUAGUCCACCAGGCAAAUCCAAUUGAUUCAAUGAAUCUUUACUACUUGGGACUAACACUAGAGUACAGAUCUGUAUGUGAAUGCAAUUUGGUUCAUGCACUGUUAAAAUGUUUAUAGCUCAGCUCAGCUUCUAGGAAGGAUGAUAGAGGUAUCAAGUUGUCUAUUAUGAUGCCAUCAUAGAGGGUGCAUCUACUUUGAAAGGGUGCACAUCACUGUCCUGGCAACAUGGGAGCCUUCUCGUGUUGCCUUGCCAGCAAUGGGGAGAAGCCCAACAGUGAUGCUUCCCCCCAUGGAAGUAAGGUGGGUGAUGCAGGGCAUGGAGCAAUGGCUUCUCCACGCCCCCCACUGGGAGUCCAUGGAUUUGCCCCAACGUGGGGCAAAUUCAUGGACCUUUAUGAUAAAGUCCCAAGUGACAAUGUUGGUAGAUAAAAUUACAUUAUUAUAUCAUUUGAUAGCACUUAAACUGCUAUGGCAACUUCAUAUGAAAUCCUGAUAGUUUGUAGUUUGGUGGGACACUAGACCUAAAAGGGAAGUCUUAAGAAAAGUGGAGGUAUGAGAAAAAGAAAAAAAAACUGGAUUUGGGAAGAAGAUUUCAAAUGAUCUCUAGGAGGUUGAGAAAAUUUAUGUUUAUUUCUGACAGGUUUUCCCGACAUUGAUAUUUUGUUUCACCUGAACAUAUUGCUAGUUUUAGGACCUCUUCAUAUGGCCCUUUUGGGUCAUGCUGUUGGGAAAGGAAAGGUGCACCGGCAGCCAAAGCGAAAGAACAUGAGAUGGCUUGUGGCACCCCUCCCUCCUCCCCUCAUCAGAUGGCAGAAAGGGCAGCAAUGCAUAUUACCUUGCCACCCUUUCUGCCAUAACAAAGGGAAAUUGAAGGGAAACUGUGAAUAGCUUUGUUAAAGCUAACCAAACUACACUUUCCUCCCUGUAGUAGAGGAGAAAGUGCCUUUCAGUGCUUUUCCUCCACUUCAAGAGGAAAGUGGGUAGGGCCUGCUGUGCAUCGUGUGACGGCGUACGGCAGGCCCCAUUCUUGCCGCUAUUAAAAGUGGCAAACUGGGGCAAAAAUACCUAGUGUGAAGAGGUCCUUGGACUAAAAAAUGUUGAAACAUUUUACAUUUUUGUUCAUUUGUUUUUGGAGAAGAGUUCAGGAACCUUUUACUUUUAAGUGCUUGUUGGAGAGAAACACAAAGCUAUUUUUUUCACUGUCACUAAGAAACUGGGUGAGACACUUUUGAAUUAUGUUAAUAUACAGGAAGUUUUCAAGAAGUUCCAAAUAAAAGAUGUGAAAAUGUU